rnacentral:rRNA from 1 species
AUUGAACGCUGGCGGCAGGCCUAACACAUGCAAGUCGAGCGGAUGAAGGGAGCUUGCUCCUGGAUUCAGCGGCGGACGGGUGAGUAAUGCCUAGGAAUCUGCCUGGUAGCGGGGGAUAACGUCCGGAAACGGGCGCUAAUACCGCAUACGUCCUGAGGGAGAAAGUGGGGGAUCUUCGGACCUCACGCUAUCAGAUGAGCCUAGGUCGGAUUAGCUAGUUGGUGGGGUAAAGGCCUACCAAGGCGACGAUCCGUAACUGGUCUGAGAGGAUGAUCAGUCACACUGGAACUGAGACACGGUCCAGACUCCUACGGGAGGCAGCAGUGGGGAAUAUUGGACAAUGGGCGAAAGCCUGAUCCAGCCAUGCCGCGUGUGUGAAGAAGGUCUUCGGAUUGUAAAGCACUUUAAGUUGGGAGGAAGGGCAGUAAGCUAAUACCUUGCUGUUUUGACGUUACCAACAGAAUAAGCACCGGCUAACUUCGUG